AGCUGAGAAACUCUGUUGAAUAGAGGGAGAAUCUUCACCAGCUCCCCCUCUGGUAUGGAGGUCCACAGCAGGCUCAGAGAGACAGAAGUACAGUGUUGGAGGGUGAAGCACAGGGCAGUACAGUGGUAAGAGUCCAGCUCUGUAUUGUUCAGGUUGAUACAGCUGUGUGUUGAACUCAACAGACUGGACACACAGUGAGCAGAGCCAGUCUCAUAGAUCUCUCUGAUGAUUGACAGCACAACACUGGGGUUCACGUUUAAACUGAAUUUCAGACAGUAGAGGAAGAAUCUGUCUGGCAUGAUUAUAUGUGAUUUUGCUCUUUCUGAUGUUCGCACUAAUGCGGCAAACUCGCUGCUGGAGAAAAUGGAUAAGCUCCUCCCAACUGAGAGAACAGGAAGUCAGGUCUCCUCCCACCUUCUCCAGGAAAAAGCGGGAUGACACAUGAGGCUGAUGAGAGAGUGAGCCUCCAUCCUGCACUCAGUGAGAUUCACACAGUGAACAGUCCAGAUGUUCAGGAGAGAAGACAAACUGCUCAGAAAUGUGAAGAUCUUUUUCUUUGGCUUUAUGCUGUUAAGCCUCAGACAGAGCUCCUCAAUGACCAACGAGCCACCAGCUCUCACUGCUCCAAAUGCUCGGACCAUCCUCCCUUCCACACGGUCACUCAGGCUGACAAGCGUUCACCAAACACAUUCAUUAAAGGGGAUUUCAUGGUCCAGCUCAAUUUCACUCAUGCAUACUAAAGCUUAAUGAAGUUAUAUAACCUGGUGUGAAAAUUAAGAAACUGAUUAAUAACAUACUAGAGUUUCUGUAGGUGUGUGAUGUGUCUGAAGAGAAGUCUGGCCCCUCGGAGAGAGAUGGCUCGGGGUUUCAGAGUGAGUUUGAGUUUGGAGUCUGAGAGACUUAGCACUUUCCUCACAGCCCUGCACUCAUGAGUGGUUAAAACCCAGUCUAUAACGAAGAUGAAGUCCAUCGCAGCAAAGAAAGCUCUCACCAACUCUGUAUCUUCUGCGUAGUCAACAACUGCUUUACUUAAACGUGGAAUUAUAUUUUCCCCACAUCUAAAACAGAGAGGUUUAAUGUAAAUAAAUAAAUAAAUA
ensembl:lncRNA